rnacentral:lncRNA from 1 species
AUAAAAAUAUCCCAGGUGGUAGGAGUGGGCAAGACAUCUUUCUUAAGCCGCCAUCAAUGCUCAACUUCACCUAUAAACAUGAAAGCAGCAAAAAGGAUCUUUUGUUCCUCAAUUAGGCCCAGGAUAGAAAAAAACUUUUUUAUUUGAAGAAUCCAAGUUUCUACUGCCAAAGGAUUGGGUCCAUCAUCAAGGAAGGAGGGUUCAGUCUCCUAAACUCAGAGAUGUUUUGUGAAAUGGUUCUGUCUACAAUGGUCAAACACUGGAUGACUCGGAGUAGCUCAGUAAACUCAGCCCUAGUCAGAGCAUCCUGAGCCUUAGGGCAUUCUAUGGAUGGUCCCUUUCGAGUCAUAAUUCUUUCAAAAGGGAGACAACAAGCUUGAUGACUAGAAAAAAAAAAGUCAUUUC